CUUUAUUAUUGGUGUAGUUUUGAGUCCCUUGCCUGUUUUGAACUGAUUUUUUUGGUGCUUGACUGACUUGCUCUCCUUGGUCUCCCUGCACUAAUUUCCAUGCUCUAUUAUGAUGCUGGCAGUUCUGGACAUCAGUGAUCACUUUUAAGCGCACUCUUUCUUUCUGGUAUAUUGAUGAUUCAUACUAUUAGGAGAGGCUUCCUGCCUUUCCAUGACUUAGUGAAAAUGAUCUAUUUCAUAAUGUCUCCUUACUCUUAGCAGGGCUUGUCCUCUGUUCCCAAAACUCCCACUGUUUUCACUGCAAGCAUGACCAGACUGUGAAAUAGCUUGGCUGGUCUGGGGCUUUUUUAAUAAACUGCUGUUUUAUUUAUCUUGCUGUUCUUUAGAGCUUUUCAUCUCAAAACAUUUGAGUGCAGAAACUGUCCAGUAGUGAAAUGCAGCCACCUCUCUUGGGGGUAGAGUGGGAGGCAGACAGGCAGGCAUUUUACUCCACAGUUUAGAGCGAGAGGAAUUUUGUUCAAGGACAAUGAGGGAAAGCUUAGCUUGUAUGCUGAAUGACCCUUUGAUCUUCCACGUUCAUGCUCAGCUGAUCAGGACUUUAAAUCUAAGCUCUGUCUCCCUCCUACCCGUAGCAAACAGCCAGAAAUAUAAUCUCAUUUAGGACUUGAGCGCUGGACCAGAAUGACAGGACUUCAUCAGCAAAUGUUCAGCCUUACAUGUUUCCUAUUUGCCUGUCACUUCCUCAAGUGGUGCUGACAUAGAGCUAAAGAAUGGGGGUGGCAGUCUGGGGAUACGCAGUAGGGUGUACUCAGAGGGCUCCGAUGGGGAAGGGAAGGCCAGGCCUGUUACUCAAAAACAUUCUCCUGUGAGCCUGUAACGGGAGGGUGCUGUGGGGUUACAAGGUGGCUCUCUGGAACACACUGAACACGUCUGUCCGUAGCCAUGAGAUGCAUUUGGUAGUUCUGCAGCUUUGUGGCGCUAAUCGUGACGAAGUGACUGGCUUUCUGAGGCUCUGAAAACUCAGAAUAGUUAACUGGUGGCGUGGUAGGUCAGCUUUCCUUGUGCAAGGAGAGAAGGCUGCAGAAACCGCUGCAGCAGAAGCAGUGGAAACGAGCCGGCAGAGCGUGAUGGGAACUUGGAUCCUUGACCUGCAGCCCUUGAGCAAUUGUAAAAGAUUGUGUUACUUCUGCUACUAUGCAGUGCGCCAUUAGGAACCUUAAUUACGGGGAGAUGACGGCAUUGCGUAGGCUAGAGAGUAGCCUGCAGGAAUGUAGGAACUUUAAUUUUAUAACGCUUGCUCUGUGGUGUGUGUGUCUCUGUUGGGAAGGAUACAGAAAGGCCUGUUCUUGUUUCAGAUGAAACAAACUUGGCCGGUUGAUAAUGUGCAGCUCAUCUGAGCUAGAAUGGCGGUAGCCCAUUUGAUAGGUAACAGCCGGUGCUUUCUUGCCUCUUCCUAUGUAUUAAAGCAAAAUGUGGGUGUUUAAACCGAGAGGGAAGCGUUUGGUGAAAGCAAAACUUUGACUUGAGACGGAGCAGUGCUUAGCUUAGCUGUGCCGAAUUCAUUCCUCUUUUUUUUUUUCAGUAUUCCUUGCAGUAUUUAUAGCCUGAGAUACAUGGUGAGAACAAUCAGAGGCACAGCUGUGUGACCUCCUUUAUGCUAAAACAAAACAGCACAGAGUGAAUAUUUUUAGCUUGUUCCAGCUGUGGGUAUUGGGUUCAAAUUGCAGUGCCUUAAAAAGACAGUGUGGCAGAGAAACCGAAAGGUGCAUUUGAAUUUCUAGGUCGGAAGGACUGACUCUGAAGGGUUCCUAGAGAAGCCAGUCCGUCAGUGAGAAAAGAGCAUGGUCAAAACUCCUCUAUUUGGCAUUUAUAACUGUUUCAUUGCAGUUUUAUGUUCUUUUGAACACCUGUACUUUGAUAGUUCCUUCUCUGUUUCUCUUUCUUACAUUUAAUUUCCUGUUUCUUUGCUAAUAGCUUCUGUGGACCUUGGGAAGGAAAUAUUUUUAGGAAGAGUGUCUUUGACCUGAAGAAAUGGUCUGUACACAGAGUUGCAGCAAGGUUUCAAAGAUCAGCUGGGUACGGUUGUACCUUGUCUGGGCAGUGGGAGCUGGGCUAGGAAGAGCAGACACCUGAGGACCCAUUUAGUUUAAAACUUGAUUUUAGGUUGAAAGAUUAAGGGAACAGACAAAUACUUGCACUGUCUCCCGGUGACUGUUGCUAACUCGGAAACGCCCCCUAACACUGCUCUUCUGGAAUGUUCCCCUCUCCUUCGGGCAGUCCUGAGCAGAGAUCACUGUGCCUCCGUCUGUGACCGGGGUUCUUGAGUCUCCGCCUUAUCCGCGAUCUCGCAGGGCCCCUUGCUUGUCCUUGAGAUAGGGGUGAUGAGUUUGGGUGGCGUUUUGUUUGCUUACUAAGAUCUAAUAACCAAAGCUGUGGCACGUCUCAUCUUUGCUUCCAUUGGGAGGUGUGCCCUGCCUUUUCCUUCGGUAACUGCGGCACCGCAACACGCCCCCUCUUCCCCCCCGCGGGGUUUUUCUUGAAGCAAGAAGAUGGCACCGUCUAGUCGCCUGAUUACAUGCAAAUAAAAACAGCCGGCCUUGGGAGCGGAGAGAUACAGGAAGAUGCUGGGGAGCGCUGCUCUGCUGCGAUAGCCACUGGGGGAGACCAACCGCCUGCUGCUGUCAUAACCUCUCCUCUCCAGAGAGGCUGGCAUGAAGCCCGGGCUGCUUUGCCACCUCAUGCCUUUCUCCCUCUUCUUAUCUAGCCAUGCCACAGCUUCCCAGGCUCCUGGGUUAGAUAGAUCAGCCCCACCCUUCUCACUCGGAGAGAUGCUUCUGUUCCCUAAACCCACAUAACUGCGUUGCUCUGGAGGCAGAAUAUUGGCCUGGACCCGUAACGGCAGUUGAUUCCUGCGGGUGAGGGGAGAUGGCCGACAGUGGAAGGAACAGAAGUUUUCUAGAAACAAGAGCUCAGCAAAGCUCCCUGGAGCGAAGGGCUUGUGGUGGUGGGAAGGACGAGGAGCCAAAGGGUCUUCAUCUGGCGGCCGUCGAAGCUGGUGUUUGUGAGGGUGGGACCCCACGAGCAGCAGCCGCGUCCGUGGUGCAAAAUCCCACAGCCCCGGGUCCGCCAGCCCCUACCUUGGUCCUGCAGAGCUAUUCGUGCCCUGACCAGCGCAAAAAAAACAACCCCAAAGCUUCAACAUUUUGAUUUCUGUUCUCCUUUUUCCAGUGA